AAACCGGGGCUAAUACCGGAUAUUUCUUUUCCUCGCAUGAGGAGAAGUGGAAAGAUGGCUUCGGCUAUCACUUACAGAUGGACCCGCGGCGCAUUAGCUAGUUGGUGAGGUAAUGGCUCACCAAGGCAACGAUGCGUAGCCGACCUGAGAGGGUGAUCGGCCACACUGGGACUGAGACACGGCCCAGACUCCUACGGGAGGCAGCAGUAGGGAAUCUUCCGCAAUGGACGAAAGUCUGACGGAGCAACGCCGCGUGAGUGAAGAAGGUUUUCGGAUCGUAAAGCUCUGUUGUUAGGGUAGAACAAGUACCGUUCGAAUAGGGCGGUACCUUGACGGUACCUAACCAGAAAGCCACGGCUAACUACGUGCCAGCAGCCGCGGUAAUACGUAGGUGGCAAGCGUUGUCCGGAAUUAUUGGGCGUAAAGCGCGCGCAGGCGGUCUCUUAAGUCUGAUGUGAAAGCCCACGGCUCAACCGUGGAGGGUCAUUGGAAACUGGGGGGACUUGAGUACAGA
rnacentral:rRNA from 1 species